AGCGAACGCUGGCGGCAGGCCUAACACAUGCAAGUCGAACGAACCCUUCGGGGUUAGUGGCGGACGGGUGAGUAACACGUGGGAACGUGCCUUUAGGCUCGGAAUAACUCAGGGAAACUUGUGCUAAUACCGAAUGUGCCCUUCGGGGGAAAGAUUUAUCGCCUUUAGAGCGGCCCGCGUCUGAUUAGCUAGUUGGUGAGGUAAUGACUCACCAAGGCUACGAUCAGUAGCUGGUCUGAGAGGAUGACCAGCCACAUUGGGACUGAGACACGGCCCAAACUCCUACGGGAGGCAGCAGUGGGGAAUCUUGCGCAAUGGGCGAAAGCCUGACGCAGCCAUGCCGCGUGGAUGAUGAAGGUCUUAGGAUUGUAAAAUCCUUUCACCGGUGAAGAUAAUGACUGUAGCCGGAGAAGAAGCCCCGGCUAACUUCGUGCCAGCCGCCGCUGUAACAC
rnacentral:rRNA from 1 species